AGUGAACGCUGGCGGUAGGCCUAACACAUGCAAGUCGAACGGCAGCACAGUAAGAGCUUGCUCUUACGGGUGGCGAGUGGCGGGCGGGUGAGGAAUACAUCGGAAUCUACUUUUUCGUGGGGGAUAACGUAGGGAAACUUACGCUAAUACCGCAUCCGACCUACGGGUGAAAGCAGGGGAUCUUCGCACCUUGCGCGAUUGAAUGAGCCGCUGUCGGAUUAGCUAGUUGGCGGGGUAAAGGCCCACCAAGGCGACGAUCCGUAGCUGGUCUGAGUGGAGGGUCGGCGACCUUGGAGCGGAGACACGGUCCAGACUCCUACGGGAGGCAGCAGUGGGGAAUAGUGGACAAUGGGCGCAAGCCUGACCCAGCCAUACCGCGUGGGUGAAGAAGGCCUUCGGGUUGUAAAGACCUUUUGUUGGGAAAGAAAAGCAGCAGGUUAAUACCCCGCUGUUCUGACGGUACCCAAAGAAGAAGCACCGGCUAACUUCGUG
rnacentral:rRNA from 1 species